AACGAACGCUGGCGGCAUGCCUAACACAUGCAAGUCGAACGAGACCUUCGUGUCUAGUUGCGCACGUGGGCUUAACGCGGGGUAACCUGCCCUUAAGUUCGGAGUAACUGCCCGUGAGGUGUGCUAAUACCAGUUAAUGUCUUCGGAGCAAAGAUCUAUCGCCUUUGGAUGGGGCCGGGUUGGUUUAGCUAGUUGGUAGUGUACAAGCCUACCAAGGCGACGAUCCAUGGCUGGUGGGGGAGGAUGAUCAGCCAGGAUGGGAAUGAGACCCGGCCUAGAAUGCUACGGAAGGGAGCAGUAGGGAAUAUUGGACACGGGGCGAAAGCCCAAUACAGCCACGCCGCGUGUGAGAUGAAGGCCUUAGGAUUGUAAAGCCCUUUGACACGAGACGAUAAUGACAGUAACGGGAGAAUAAGCACCGGCUAACUACGUG
rnacentral:rRNA from 1 species